rnacentral:rRNA from 1 species
UGGGCAACCUGCCCCUAGCUCUGGGAUAACUGCGGGAAACUGUAGCUAAUACCUGAUGUGACACGAGACUGCAUGGUCUUCGUGUGGAAAGAUUUAUCGGCUAGGGAUGGGCCCGCGGUCUAUCAGCUUGUUGGUGAGGUAAUGGCUUACCAAGGCGACGACGGGUAGCCGGCCUGAGAGGGUGACCGGCCACACUGGGACUGAGACACGGCCCAGACUCCUACGGGAGCAG